ACCUCCUCAACCAUCUGUGAGACAGUCAGCUGAAGUUGUGAAGACUUGAAGGUGUGAUAACCGUAGCCAUGCUGAAGGCAGUAUUUGUGCUUGGAUGCGUCCUGAGCCUCACUCUGGCUCAUCCUAUGGAGAUGCCAUACAAACGACUUGCUCGGUCAAGCUCUAUUUCAGUCUCCAGUGAGGAAACACAACAAAGCAAUUCAUUAACAACAGCUCAAGUUGUGGACCUCCUGAAUCUCCUCUUGCAGUUAGCACAGACUACCACUGCAGCUACAACUACCACUGCAGCUACAACUACUACUGCGGCUACAACUACUACUACAGCUACAACAACUGCUGCACCCACUACUACUACAAAAUAAAAUCUGAAAUUUAACCUGGGAUCAGUAGGCGAAUGACAAAAAGUAUAGCGUGAAACUGUUUUUUAACAUCAGCUUUGUUUUGUGUCAGCUUGUCAUGAAGACUGCUUCUUUCUCAUUUUAAAAUUCAGUGAUGUUGUGUUGAUGUGUUUUCACACUCAUCAUAGUCCUAGUUUGAUUAAACACGUUGAUCAGAAUCAUUGUAUUCUCUGUAGUAUCCAGUGAAUAAACUUCAUAA